UAAUACGGGGGGGGCAAGCGUUGUUCGGAAUUACUGGGCGUAAAGGGCUCGUAGGCGGCCAGCCAAGUCGGACGUGAAAUCCCCAGGCUCAACCUGGGAACUGCGUCCGAUACUGGUUGGCUUGAAGUCGGGAGAGGGAUGCGGAAUUCCAGGUGUAGCGGUGAAAUGCGUAGAUAUCUGGAGGAACACCGGUGGCGAGGGCGGCAUCCUGGACCGAUCUUGACGCUGAGGAGCGAAAGCUAGGGGAGCAAACGGGAUUAGAUACCCCGGUAGUCCUAGCCCUAAACGAUGAAUGCUUGGUGUGGCGGGUAUCGAUCCCUGCCGUGCCGGAGCUAACGCAUUAAGCAUUCCGCCUGGGGAGUACGGUCGCAAGGCUG
rnacentral:rRNA from 1 species